rnacentral:rRNA from 1 species
GACGAACGCUGGCGGCGUGCUUAACACAUGCAAGUCGAACGGAAAGGCCCUGCUUUUGUGGGGUGCUCGAGUGGCGAACGGGUGAGUAACACGUGAGUAACCUGCCCUUGACUUUGGGAUAACUUCAGGAAACUGGGGCUAAUACCGGAUAGGAGCUCCUGCUGCAUGGUGGGGGUUGGAAAUUUUCGGCGGUUGGGGAUGGACUCGCGGCUUACCAGCUUGUUGGUGGGGUAGUGGCUUACCAAGGCUUUGACGGGUAGCCGGCCUGAGAGGGUGACCGGCCACAUUGGGACUGAGAUACGGCCCAGACUCCUACGGGUGGCAGCGGUGGGGAAUAUUGCACAAUGGGCGGAAGCCUGAUGCAGCAACGCCGCGUGCGGGAUGACGGCCUUCGGGUUGUAAACCGCUUUCGCCUGUGACGAAGCGUGAGUGACGGUAAUGGGUAAAGAAGCACCGGCUAACUACGUG